rnacentral:rRNA from 1 species
GACGUAGGGCGCGAGCGUUGUCCGGAUUUAUUGGGCGUAAAGAGCGUGUAGGCGGCCAGGUAGGUCUGCUGUGAAAACUCGAGGCUCAACCUCGAGACGUCGGCGGAAACCAUCUGGCUAGAGUCCGGAAGAGGAGAGUGGAAUUCCUGGUGUAGCGGUGAAAUGCGCAGAUAUCAGGAAGAACACCCGUGGCGAAGGCGGCUCUCUGGGACGGUACUGACGCUGAGGAGCGAAAGCGUGGGGAGCAAACAGG